AUUGAACGCUGGCGGCAUGCCUUACACAUGCAAGUCGAACGGCAGCACGGGAGCAAUCCUGGUGGCGAGUGGCGAACGGGUGAGUAAUAUAUCGGAACGUGCCCAGUCGUGGGGAUAACGUAGCGAAAGCUACGCUAAUACCGCAUACUAUCUAUGGAUGAAAGCGGGGGAUCGCAAGACCUCGCGCGAUUGGAGCGGCCGAUAUCAGAUUAGGUAGUUGGUGAGGUAAAGGCUCACCAAGCCGACGAUCUGUAGCUGGUCUGAGAGGACGACCAGCCACACUGGACUGAGACACGGCCCAGACUCCUACGGGAGGCAGCAGUGGGGAAUUUUGGACAAUGGGCGCAAGCCUGAUCCAGCAAUGCCGCGUGCAGGAUGAAGGCCUUCGGUU
rnacentral:rRNA from 1 species